GCCCUUGUAGCUCAACGGAUAGAGUGCCUGUCUUCGGAACAGGUGAUAGAGGUUCGAUUCCUCUCAAGGGCG
rnacentral:tRNA from 1 species